AAAAAUUUUGGAACCUCCAGUAAACUAGGUAAAUUUUGUUGUAUUCUUUAAGCAAGAAAUGGUUAUCACUGUCUGAAGGCUGAAAUAUGGAAAAGAUACUUUUCCACAAUCAGUGGAGUAGAUUGUGGAAUUGGAUGCUGCAUGAAGAAUGUGGGAAACAAAAGAGGAAGUCAGGGUAUGUCAAGACACACUCAUAUACUAGAGAGGGGAUUGGAUUCAGCUGGUUGUGCAGGUAUUAUUGUUUGGAAGUUCAGGUGAUAUUUGUCUACGAUAUUUUUUCAAAUGAGUUUAAGGAGCAUUCUUAUAUGGCCUUCUCUUCCCAUUGACCAGAAAUGACCCCACAAAUGAGAAGGAAGCUUUCCACUGGCCUUCACAGACUGGGCCCAUAUUUAUGGAUGCUCAUUAACCAGCUUAUGAAGCCUACUAUAAGAAGCAUAUGCUAAAAGGUAUGAGCAAAAUAGCUAUAAAUGCAAAUAGUCAUUUGACCAUGAGCUUUAAUGCUAGAAAAGGCAUACUGUAUGGAGAGAAGACCUUAAAUACAACAGUGGAUGGCAUGAAAAUCUAAGACUUGAGUACAAUUUGGAAAAUAAGUGAGCUUUCUUUCUGCAUAACAUGAAUGGAAGCAAUCUGAAAUCUAGUGGCUGUGGUAUUAUGUUUUCUAUAAGAUAUAUGGUAUCUUUAUUGGU
rnacentral:lncRNA from 1 species